CCCCUCUCAGGGUCGCACCUGGAGAGUUUCCAGGACUCCACCAGUCUCGGCUAUGGGAGGGAGAGUCAAGCAGAGGCAAACCCAUUCCAUUCCUAGCUUGGCCAGUGGCUAGCGUGUGGAAAGCAAUCCGUUACAAGU